AUUUCAGGGAACCGUACGGGUGCGGAAACUACUGUUGCAACUCAAACUGUGACAGGGAACAGUCCUAUUACGGGUGUGAAAAGCACUGAUGCAACUCAAACUCUGACAGAAUGUUCUUUGACACCGUUGCUGAAACAUGGUACGCUAAACAUUUCCAGUGGUCAUAGAAAUGUCAAUGAGUCCGCCAAAGUAGUUUGUGAUCCCGGAUACGAAAUAAUUGGCCCACAAACAGCAGUAUGCACAGAAGACGGAACAUGGGAUACAGCACUGACAACAUGCAUCCCUAGAAGUACUUUCAAUUUGUUCUUCCUGAAGUUUCAUGUUUUUCAUUAAGAAAAUACAGUCUUUAUUUCA
rnacentral:lncRNA from 1 species